rnacentral:rRNA from 1 species
CCCUUAGAUGCUCUGGGCCGCACGCGCGCUACACUGACGAAUGCAACGAGCUUAUAACCUUGGCCGAAAGGUCUGAGUAAUCUCCAAAUUUCGUCGUGAUGGGGAUAGAUUAUUGCAAUUAUUAAUCUUCAACGAGGAAUGCCUAGUAAGCGCAAGUCAUCAGCUUGCGUUGAUUACGUCCCUGCCCUUUGUACACACCGCCCGUCGCUCCUACCGAUUGAAUGGUCCGGUGAAGCGUUCGGACCGUGGCCUUUGGACGGUUCGCCGUCUGUUGGCUGCGGGAAGUUCGUUAAACCUUAUCAUUUAGAGGAAGGAGAANUCGUANCA